UACGUAGGGGGCAAGCGUUGUCCGGAAUUAUUGGGCGUAAAGAGCGUGUAGGCGGUCCGGUAAGUCGGCUGUGAAAGUCCAGGGCUCAACCCUGGGAUGCCGGUCGAUACUGCCGGACUAGAGUUCGGAAGAGGCGAGUGGAAUUCCCGGUGUAGCGGUGAAAUGCGCAGAUAUCAGGAAGAACACCCGUGGCGAAGGCGGCUCUCUGGGCCUUACCUGACGCUCAGGUGCGAAAGCUAGGGGAGCGAACAGG
rnacentral:rRNA from 1 species